GACGAACGCUGGCGGCGUGCUUAACACAUGCAAGUCGAGCGGUAAGGCCCUUUCGGGGGUACACGAGCGGCGAACGGGUGAGUAACACGUGGGUGACCUGCCCUCAGCUCUGGGAUAAGCCUGGGAAACCGGGUCUAAUACCGGAUAUGACCUCAUGACGCAUGUUGUGGGGUGGAAAGCCUUGUGCGGCUGAGGAUGGGCCCGCGGCCUAUCAGCUUGUUGGUGGGGUGAUGGCCUACCAAGGCGACGACGGGUAGCCGGCCUGAGAGGGCGACCGGCCACACUGGGACUGAGACACGGCCCAGACUCCUACGGGAGGCAGCAGUGGGGAAUCUUGCGCAAUGGGCGAAAGCCUGACGCAGCGACGCCGCGUGAGGGAUGACGGCCUGGUU
rnacentral:rRNA from 1 species